ACGCUCGACACCUACGGGAGGGCAGCAGUGAGGAAUAUUGGUCAAUGGACGCAAGUCUGAACCAGCCAUGCCGCGUGCAGGAUGACGGCUCUAUGAGUUGUAAACUGCUUUUGUACGAGGGUAAACGCAGAUACGUGUAUCUGUCUGAAAGUAUCGUACGAAUAAGGAUCGGCUAACUCCGUGCCAGAAGCCGCCGGUAAGUACUGAGCGGGCGUGGCGAAGGACG
rnacentral:rRNA from 1 species